rnacentral:rRNA from 1 species
GACGAACGCUGGCGGCGUGCCUAAUACAUGCAAGUAGAACGCACAGUUUAUACCGUAGCUUGCUACACCAUAAACUGUGAGUUGCGAACGGGUGAGUAACGCGUAGGUAACCUGCCUGGUAGCGGGGGAUAACUAUUGGAAACGAUAGCUAAUACCGCAUAAUAUUAAUUAUUGCAUGAUAAUUGAUUGAAAGAUGCAAUUUCAUCACUACCAGAUGGACCUGCGUUUUAUUAGCAAGUAGGUGAGGUAACGGCUAACCUAGGGGAGGAUACAUAGCCGACCUGAGAGGGGGAUCGGCCAAGCUGGGACGGGGACACGGCCCAGAACCCUACGAGAGGGAGCAGUAGGGAAUCUUCGGCAAUGGCAGAAAGUCUGACCGAGCAACGCCGCGUGAGUGAAGAAGGUUUUCGGAUCGUAAAGCUCUGUUGUAAGAGAAGAACGGGUGGGAGAGUGGAAAGUUCACACUGUGACGGUAUCUGACCAGAAAGGGACGGCUAACUACGUG